rnacentral:lncRNA from 1 species
UCUGUUAACAGCCCGCGAACCAGAAUUCCGGAUAAGGAAUUUUGUUAACCUGAGAGAAGGUGUUAGGCAUUCCCGAGUUCCGUGGUUCUAGCACAUCGCUCAACUGUUGCAUUAAGCUUAUUUAUCUGAUUUUAUACAUGAAGAACCUAUGUGCCGAUUUUACUUUUAACCGCUUUUUAUUUACUUUUUAAAGAAAGUUGAACAUCGUUUAAAAUGUAUCUUUGGAUCGCGUCAUAUGAAAUGCAACCCCAAUUCUGAACACAUUUUAUUCAACAUUUCGGGAUUUGAUUUGGCUCACAUGAAAUGCACACCCAAUUUUAGGAAGAUAAUUUUAUUAAAAUCGCUCCUAAAGAGACCAGCGCGUUAUUAUCUUUGGGGAAUGCCGUGAAAUUCGCUAAACGGCCCGUCUGGAAUUCUAAGUAUUUUAAACCUUUAUUGAGGGCCCUGCAAUUUAAAUUUUAUUGGGCGAGGCUCAUCUCAUUUAAUUUUAAAGGGUAAACCUAAGAAUGACUAUUUUUUCUAUUUUUGUUUUGUCUCUAAAAGAAAAGUAAAGAUCCUAAUUAAAUUGUUAUUGGUCCGGUGAAGAUUCUGUAUCACAAUCCAGACAUUGGACUCCCAAUAUAAGCCCACGCGUGAUUUUGGCACAUUAGAAGGCUUCAUCUCGAAUCUAUGUGACUGCAAUCACAUUUCAGUUUUGACUUGGGCCAGAAAUCAUAACCCAAGCACGCCUUGGGGUCCUUAAUUUCUGUAGUCAACUAACGUUCAAAGAUUUCAGAUUCAGUUAAUGCACCCAAAACAAUGCAAAUCUAAGAAUCAUUCCAUAUGAAUUAAACCAAAUGCUAUCAACCAAAGGAGCAUGAGAUGAUCAAUAUGGCAUUGAACCCUGAUUACGAACAAUUAAACUAGAGCAGCCACGAUAAGCCAAAUAAUACCAAAGUGUGACUGUUGAUUUUCGACUAAGGCAUCAUCCGAUGAUAGACUAAACUAAUUCUAUUAGAUAAUAGAUCUACUGAUUUCUACUAAGAUGCUGCCUGUUUUAACCGUUAUAGAUUUUCAAGACAAACCAACUCCAAACAUAACAAACCAGCACAGCCCACUUUUAACCACAAAAAGUUGAAUAACAAAUGCUACACAUACGAAUUACAGUCCAAAAUUAGCCUGGUUAUACAAAUGACCUAGAACUUUCAAAUCACUUAAUGUUUUACAAAUUAAUAUCAAAUAGAAGCAAGAUGAUUUUAAAUCCGCUUCAACAACACUUUUAUUUCAUGUCCGCAGACUUGGAGUUGUAGAACAUGUACCUGGAUUUGAGAUGAAAUAAGAGAAUGGAAUGAAAGUCAGUUGAGGCAGACAGAACAAGCAGCAACAUUAUGAAUUUUAAACAGCCAAAAUCACACAAAACUUCUGCCCAUGAGUGAGUUUAGAGUCCAGAAAUGCUUUAAAAAUCCACGAGAUCAACAGAUCAAUCCAAAAUAAAUUUGAAUAGAUAGAAAGGACCUCAAAAAACGCACCCAACGUCACUUCACAACCUCAUAGCACCUAAACGGAUCCCAAUUGUCUCAAAUGAACUCCAUAACUACUGAAAUCUUCAAUAGAAUAACAUUCUGCCAAAAUCGACCUAUCAGCACCAACCUUACUCGAAAUCAAACCAGUGACAAUCUGAAGUAUCCACAAACAAAUACUGAACUAGGAAAAUGAGAAUUACUAAUUGAAAGCUUAAAUUAACCUAAUGUAUCUAAUGGAACGUACAUUAUUGUUUUUUUUUUGAAGAGUUUUUGUUAUUUUUUGGUUUUUAUGGGAAUCACUACUGUUUUUGUUUUUGAUUUUUGAAGAUUUUGGAGUUUUGAUCUCAAGUUACAGAUCUGAAACUUGUAGAGAGGGUAAGGGAAUUUUGUG